rnacentral:rRNA from 1 species
AUGAAAAGACGUAACUGGGCUGGUAACCUGAAGUGCUCCUUCUGUCUGGGUAGGGAAACCUCUCAACACCUCUUCUUCACCUGCCCAGUUGCGAGGGUAGUUUGGAGGACGGUGGGAUGUGUCUUCGGCACAGAUUUGUGCCUCAAUAACCUGUGGCAGUAUUUUUCCUGGUGCUAUAUCUUCUUACCUGAUGAUUCUAAAUUCUAUACCUUUGGCCUUGCUGCGAUAUGUUGGGCUAUGUGGAAUUGUCGUAAUCGGGCCACAUUUGAAUACAAGAAACUGAGAACCCCUUUUGAUGUGGUUUUCUCUGCUUGUGGUUAUAUGAACUAUUGGGCAGGCCUGAUGGAGGGAGCUGAUCGCGAGGCGAUGGAGCGCGGCACCAAGAUGCUCAAGACCAACGCAGCUUACAUGAUGAGGAUCUGUGCGGCCCCAGCUGGAACGGCGAUGGACUGA